rnacentral:rRNA from 1 species
GACGAACGCUGGCGGCGUGCUUAACACAUGCAAGUCGAACGGUGAAGCGCCUUCCUUUUUGGUGGGUGUGGAUGAGUGGCGAACGGGUGAGUAACACGUGAGUAACCUGCCCCCUUCUUCUGGAUAACCGCAUGAAAGUGUGGCUAAUACGGGAUAUUCUGGGUCUGUCGCAUGAUGGGUCUGGGAAAGAUAUUGUUUCGGUGGGGGAUGGGCUCGCGGCCUAUCAGCUUGUUGGUGGGGUGAUGGCCUACCAAGGCGGUGACGGGUAGCCGGCCUGAGAGGGUGGACGGUCACACUGGGACUGAGACACGGCCCAGACUCCUACGGGAGGCAGCAGUGGGGAAUAUUGCACAAUGGGCGCAAGCCUGGUGCAGCGACGCCGCGUGAGGGAUGGAGGCCUUCGGGUUGUGAACCUCUUUCGCCAGUGAAGCAGGCCUGCCUCGUUUGUGGGUGGGUUGACGGUAGCUGGAGAAGAAGCGCCGGCUAACUACGUG